rnacentral:rRNA from 1 species
UACGUAGGGAGCGAGCGUUGUCCGGAAUUACUGGGCGUAAAGGGUGCGUAGGCGGCAUGGCAAGUCAGAUGUGAAAUCCCCGGGCUUAACUCGGGAGUUGCAUUUGAAACUGCCGUGCUUGAGUGCAGGAGAGGAAAGCGGAAUUCCUAGUGUAGCGGUGAAAUGCGUAGAUAUCGGGAGGAACACCAGUGGCGAAGGCGGCUUUCUGGCCUGUAACUGACGCUGAGACGCGAAAGCCAGGGUAGCGAACGGGAUUAGAUACCCGCGUAGU